UACGUAGGGGGCAAGCGUUGUCCGGAAUCAUUGGGCGUAAAGCGCGCGUAGGCGGCCCGGUAAGUCCGCUCUGAAAGUCCAGGGCUCAACCCUGGAAAGCGGGUGGAUACUGCCGGGCUAGAAUCCGGAAGAGGCGAGUGGAAUUCCUGGUGUAGCGGUGGAAUGCGCAGAGAUCGGGAGGAACACCCGUAGCGAAGGCGGCACUCUGGGCCGGUACUGACGCUGAGGAGCGAAAGCGUGGGGAGCGAACAGG
rnacentral:rRNA from 1 species